rnacentral:sRNA from 1 species
UGUUCCUGUUGGUUCUCGAGGGGACUGCUAUGAUAGGUACCUGUGCCGGGUGGAGGAGAUGCGCCAGUCCCUGAGAAUUAUCGCACAGUGUCUAAACAAGAUGCCUCCUGGGGAGAUCAAGGUUGAUGAUGCCAAAGUGUCUCCACCUAAGCGAGCAGAGAUGAAGACUUCCAUGGAGUCACUGAUUCAUCACUUUAAGUUGUAUACUGAGGGCUACCAAGUUCCUCCAGGAGCCACAUAUACUGCCAUUGAGGCUCCCAAGGGAGAGUUUGGGGUGUACCUGGUGUCUGAUGGCAGCAGCCGCCCUUAUCGAUGCAAGAUCAAGGCUCCUGGUUUUGCCCAUCUGGUAAGAAUCAAUCCCAGUAACUAUAACUCCAAUGAAUUAAACCUGACCUUGGUUGAGGUUUUUAUGAACUCUUCUUCUUCUCCCACCUUGCAAGUCUUAACUAACAUUGUUGCCAUCUCAAUCUCCCUAGGCUGGUUUGGACAAGAUGUCUAAGGGACACAUGUUGGCAGAUGUCGUUGCCAUCAUAGGUACGAGGCCUAUUGUGUAGUAGAGGUAUCCUAGACAAAGGAGUUCGGGACACCCACUGGGGACAGAAGGAGAACACUUCCUGUUCACCAUAGGCCAUGGCAUGGACUCGGGUCCUCAAUCUUUUGAGCACAGUAAUGGGUUCUGGAUCUUGGGUAACACCACUUUUUUUGUUUGUUUUGCCUCACAACAGGAAGAUAAGUAACAUCACUUUUUUCCUCCAUCCUCUCACCUAGGUACCCAAGAUAUUGUAUUUGGAGAAGUAGAUCGGUGAGCAGGGGAGCAGCGUUUGAUCCCCCCUGCCUAUCAGCUUCUUCUGUGGAGCCUGUCCCUCACUGGAAAUUGGCCUCUGUGUGUGUGUGUGUGUGUGUGUGUGUGU